AUUGAACGCUGGCGGCAGGCCUAACACAUGCAAGUCGAACGGUAACAGGAAGAAGCUUGCUUCUUUGCUGACGAGUGGCGGACGGGUGAGUAAUGUCUGGGAAACUGCCUGAUGGAGGGGGAUAACUACUGGAAACGGUAGCUAAUACCGCAUAACGUCGCAAGACCAAAAAGGGGGACCUUCGGGCCUCUUGCCAUCGGAUGUGCCCAGAUGGGAUUAGCUAGUAGGUGGGGUAACGGCUCACCUAGGCGACGAUCCCUAGCUGGUCUGAGAGGAUGACCAGCCACACUGGAACUGAGACACGGUCCAGACUCCUACGGGAGGCAGCAGUGGGGAAUAUUGCACAAUGGGCGCAAGCCUGAUGCAGCCAUGCCGCGUGUAUGAAGAAGGCCUUCGGGUUGUAAAGUACUUUCAGCGGGGAGGAAGGGAGUAAAGUUAAUACCUUUGCUCAUUGACGUUACCCUCAGAAGAAGCACCGGCUAACUCCGUG
rnacentral:rRNA from 1 species